ensembl:snoRNA U3 Small nucleolar RNA U3
AAGGCCAUACUUUCAGGGAUCAUUCCUGAAGUUUCUAAUUUGAGAAAUGUGCUCCUAAAGUGGUCAGUCACACCAGCCACCGUGCUGAGACUUGAUAUUCUCUUCUGAGCGUGAAGCUGGCAGAAAUAUCUUAUUUAUUUCAUGUAAUUGCUGCUAUUGAUGAUCACUCUAUACUUUUAAAAGUGAUGAGGGGGAGAAUAUGAUCAGUGUGUU